rnacentral:lncRNA from 1 species
CUUCCCUCUUCUGCUCUCUUCCUGUCUGAACACUUCCUAGCUUCGGCCUCCACCUCCUUCAUUACUUCUUGAAUACUUGAAGCCUUCGGAAGUCAUCCUGUCUUCCCAGAUUCUUAGUCUGCCACUCCAUCUAGCAACUCAUUUUACCUUGGCCCUGAGAGGAUUGCCUGAGAGACUAGAGGUUUUAGAGCAGGAAAAGAUGAUACAAAUCACGUAACCCAGCAGCCUCUAGGAGCAGAUGAGGACGUUUGGAUGUGGGAAGGCUACAGAACUUGUGUAAGGUCACAGUGCUGGUGAUGUGGAGCUGGAAUUAUGACCUCUGCUUGGCAGCCGUCCCCCUGGAGUGGAUGCUCCUGGGAGUUGGUCCCUGUGUCCAGCCUCUGUCUUCAUACACAAAUUAUGUUUAGACAGGUUGGCCCAUGCAGACUUAUCAGUGGUUCAGAGAUAUCCAAAAGCUUUGUUCCUCUCAUGGUGCUGAGUCUAAGAGAUUUAUCUUUCUUGCAUCCCCUGCUUACACUAAACUUCCAUUUAAGCUUAAUAGCCAGAGAAGUGACUGUAAGCAGUUCUCCAACCUGAGCUUGCAUUAGAAUCACCUGGAGGGCUUUUUGAACCAUAGAGAGCUGGGCUCCACCCCUGGAGUUUCUGAUUCUGUGAAGGUGGGGUGGGUCUGGGACUUUGCAUUCCCAGGUGAUGCUGAUAUUGCUAACCCUGAGAUCUUAUUGGGAGAGCCUGAGAGAGAGUGGUUAAGAACCUGGACUUCACAACUGAACAACCCUGAGUUUCAGCUCCUGUUUCACCACCUUGGGCAAGUGACUCAACCUCGGAUAUCCUUUGGAAAAUCUCUGAAGCAGACACCCAAAUCAGAGCCGAGCUUUGCCGUGACUCUCCAGAAGCUGAUGGGCCUGGUGUUUGAACUGAGCCUGUCAACAUGUGGAAAACACAGAGGUCUCCCCCAGAGGUUUCUUUUGACUUCAUGCCCCGUGUCUGGGAAUGUAGCUGAAGAAAGCAUGCAUCUGGAUAAAGACAACGAGGAGAACCUGUGUGAGACUAAUUGCUUCACACACGAGGAAACUUUGGCUUCAUCCAUCUGAGCUAAGUG